rnacentral:SRP_RNA from 1 species
GCCGGGCAUGGUGGCGUGUGCCUGUAAUCCCAGCUACUCGGGAGGCUGAGACGGGAGAAUCGCUUGAACCUAGGAGGCAGAGGUUGCAGUGAGCCGAGAUUGUGCCACUGCACUCUAGCCUGGGCAACAGAGUGAGACUCCAUCUCAA